UAUAUACUUUCCUACAGAUUUUUCUAUGGUGUCGAUGGCGUCGGAAUGGUGGUGGGAGUUGCUGUUCAUGGCGGUGUGGAUGUUGAUGACGCUAGUGUUAAGACAAAGCUACAAUGGUAAUCUCAUAUCCCACUUGGCGGUGAGAUAUAUCCCAGAGCCUUACCAGACCUUGCAAGAGGUGGUGGAUGACUCGUCGGCCAAAGUCAUAUGGAUGCAAGAUUCAUCACUAGAGCAGAGUAUUCGUGUGACAAAUUCUGGAACUAUAAGAGAGGUGGCAGACCUGGAGAUAAAAGGCCGAGUCAAGCGCAAGAAGCCAAAUGAAUUCUUCAGCAGUGCUGACACACUGGUGGCUGCGGCGACCACGUCAUAAUGGUAUAUGGUGUAAUCACUGGCAUGCUGCUCACACAGCACUAUUCUAAAACAGGACGGUGUGACCUCUACAAACUGAAAGAUAGAUUCAUGCCUCGGAUGAGCGGCAUGUUAGUUCCUAAGGACAGUCCUCUUCUGCACCCUCUAAAUAA